GCCUUUUUACAAAAACAUGUCUUUAUGGAGAUUUAUAAAGUCUGACCUGCCCAUUGGGAACUAAAAGGCCGCGGUAUUAUGACCGUGCAAAGGUAGCAUAAUCAUUAGUUUUUUAAUUGAAGGCUAGAAUGAAUGGUUGGACAAGAAAUAAUCUGUCUUAAUUAAAUAUAUUGAAUUUAACUUUUAAGUGAAAAGGCUUAAAUAAUCUGAAGGGACGAUAAGACCCUAUAAAACUUUAUAUUUGAAAAUAGUAGUUAAUUUUAUUUAAUAAAGUAUUAUUUAAAAGUAUUUGGUUGGGGUGACAAGGAUAGAAUAUAAAAUAACUGUCUUUUUUUUUUUACAAUAAUAUUUGUUUUAAUGAUCCUGAAAUGGAUUAAAGAUUAAGUUACUUUAGGGAUAACAGCGUAAUUUUCUUUAAGAGUUCUUAUCGACAGGAAAGUUUGCGACCUCGAUGUUGAAUUAAAAGUUCUUUAUAGAGUAGAGACUAUAAUAGAAGGUCUGUUCGACCUUUAAAAUUUUACAUGAUUUGAGUUCARACCGGUGUGAGCCAGGUUGUUUUCUAU
rnacentral:rRNA from 1 species